rnacentral:rRNA from 1 species
AGCGAACGCUGGCGGCAGGCCUAACACAUGCAAGUCGAGCGGAUGAGUGGAGCUUGCUCCAUGAUUCAGCGGCGGACGGGUGAGUAAUGCCUAGGAAUCUGCCUGGUAGUGGGGGACAACGUUUCGAAAGGAACGCUAAUACCGCAUACGUCCUACGGGAGAAAGUGGGGGAUCUUCGGACCUCACGCUAUCAGAUGAGCCUAGGUCGGAUUAGCUAGUUGGUGAGGUAAAGGCUCACCAAGGCGACGAUCCGUAACUGGUCUGAGAGGAUGAUCAGUCACACUGGAACUGAGACACGGUCCAGACUCCUACGGGAGGCAGCAGUGGGGAAUAUUGGACAAUGGGCGAAAGCCUGAUCCAGCCAUGCCGCGUGUGUGAAGAAGGUCUUCGGAUUGUAAAGCACUUUAAGUUGGGAGGAAGGGCAGUAAGUUAAUACCUUGCUGUUUUGACGUUACCAACAGAAUAAGCACCGGCUAACUUCGUGCCAGCAGCCGCAGUAAUAC